rnacentral:sRNA from 1 species
UUGACAGCUGUGAUGUCUUCAGUAUCAAUAGGAUGGGGGCAGCAGCAGCACCGUAGCCCUCCCAUUGUGCCUCAGUCCUGCUUGGGAGGGGUCACCUAACUGAGCUGGAGGGAAGUUCAGUCUCCACAGUCCAUUCAGUCCUUAGCCUCU